UACGGAGGGAGCGAGCGUUGUUCGGAAUUACUGGGCGUAAAGGGCGCGUAGGCGGUUUAUUAAGUUAGGUGCGAAAGGCCAUGGCUCAACCAUGGGGUUGUACCUAAGACUGGUAGGCUAGAGUAUAGGAGAGGAGGGUGGAAUUCCCAGUGUAGCGGUGAAAUGCGUAGAUAUUGGGAGGAACACCGGUGGCGAAGGCGGCUCUCUGGACUAAUACUGACGCUGAGGCGCGAAAGCUAGGGGAGCGAACGGG
rnacentral:rRNA from 1 species